AGAAUCACAUCAAGAAACACUGGAAUUUAAGCCUAUUUACAGAAGUCAGGAGAGAUUCUACAAUCACUGCUGAAAAGUUUUCUUCUAUGCAGGAUAUAAAACCCCUGAUUUCUGCUUUCACCUAAAUCUUAAGAGGUACCUAAAAUGUUCAUGACAGGAGAUAUUCAUUCUGCCCUCAGGUAACACAGGACUUAAAUUUGAGUGUCAUUGCUGCCCAACGUAUCCUUCAAAUAUUGGUCAUUUAUUUAGUCAUCUAAUAAUUUCUUCAACAUUCAAAUAUCUUGGCAUGAAAAGAAGAGAUGAAGGCAGAAUUUGAGAAGCAUUCACACAUGUGAACAGUUUAGGCUGGAAAAUAUAUUCACACGUGAAACAGUCAAAUGAACUUCUACAUAGCGAACCAACGUACAUUACAGGUCACCUGUGAAGUGAACACUUCCCAAAUAAUGGAAAUUCGUGGGAUAAGGGUUGAAGAAGUGAAAAACCUCUAUAUCCUCAUCUUCUACAACUGAAAGUCAAAACUGAAAAAUGAGUACACAGCAUGAUAAUCCAAAUAAAAGAUACAGAGGAUGUAAAACUGGUAGUGAAACUCCAAAAGAAUGACAACCUCC
rnacentral:lncRNA from 1 species